AGAGCGAACGCUGGCGGCAGGCCUAACACAUGCAAGUCGAGCGCCCCGCAAGGGGAGCGGCAGACGGGAGAGUAACACGUGGGAACGUACCCUUUGGUUCGGAACAACACAGGGAAACUUGUGCUAAUACCGGAUAAGCCCUUACGGGGAAAGAUUUAUUGCCAAAGGAUCGGCCCGCGUCUGAUUAGCUUGUUGGUGAGGUAACGGCUCACCAAGGCUACGAUCAGUAGCUGGUCUGAGAGGAUGAUCAGCCUCACUGGGACUGAGACACGGCCCAGACUCCUACGGGAGGCAGCAGUGGGGAAUAUUGGACAAUGGGCGCAAGCCUGAUCCAGCCAUGCCGCGUGGAUGAUGAAGGCCCUAGGGUUGUAAAGUCCUUUCGACGGGGAAGAUAAUGACGGUACCCGUAGAGGAAGCCCCGGCUAACUUCGUGCCAGCAGCCGC
rnacentral:rRNA from 1 species